rnacentral:snRNA from 1 species
AUCACUUCUCGGCCUUUUGGCUAAGAUCAAGUGCAGAAGCUGGAGUUGCUAUAUUAAUUUCAGACAGUGCAGACUCCAGAAAUAAGGAAGUCUGGGGUCAGGGGAGUGUUGGGGCUGUGUCUAGAUGUCCCCCUAAAGCCUCACAUUCUCA